AACCAUAGAAACCUGCGGAGUACCUGCGGAAGGAUCAUUAAUAAAUGUGAUUGGCAAGACCGUAAGGUCUUGCUAAACUUGUAUUUAAAACCUUCACUCUUAUAAAAACAAUAUAUUUUUAUUAUAAGAAUAAUAAAAAAGAUAACUUUUAACAAUGGAUCU
rnacentral:misc_RNA from 1 species